rnacentral:lncRNA from 1 species
AUCCUAGCUGCCUGGAAGCUAGUAUUCUGCUAGCAGCCUUCAGAUGAAGAUGUAGAACUCUCAGCUCCUACUGAACUGUCCGGAUAUUGCCAUGUUCCUGAUGAUACUGGAUUGAACUUCUGAACCUCAUAGUGUUCAACAAGAGAGGACACAGUUUCUGAUCCAGAUGUGAGAGGUCACUGGUGAAGGUGCAGCCUUAGUUGCAGUUAAUAGCCAAGGCCUGAAGUGGUCAUGCAAAGAACAUGAGGUUUGCCACCAUGAAGAGAGAGUCUAUGAGAGGCUAUUGGUGAAGCUUAGUUGCAGCGGAAGACCCCAGCAGAUUGGAGAUGCCAGUACCAUGGGAUGACCACCAAGAACAACAGAAGCAGUGAAGUCAACCAGAGCCUAGAGUACUACAGAGAGCAGAGCUGGAGAUGUGACCCCAAGCCUUUUGGAGGAUCAUGUGUGGAUCCUAGACACUGGAACAAGAAGCUGUGAAGUUCAAGUUGACUUAGAGACCCCAAGAUGUUCAAGAUGCCAGAGCCAUGGGCUAUCUGCUGAGGAAAGCUGCUAACAGGGAGUGGAACCAGCUCACAAGAAAGAAGUUUGUUGCAGUCAACAAAGAUGAAAAAGGAGUUGGAGAUCUGCAGACCAUUUUGCCAUCAGACUUGGAGAUGUAGAGUUUGGAGUUUGCCUAGUGGAUUUCCUGUCUUGCCUUGGGGAUUACAGUUAAGUGAUUGGAUGAAUCUCAGAAGAAACUUUAAACUCUGAACUGUAAGUCAGCCAAACAUAUACCCUUUAAAGUAUAUAUACAUACUUUAUUUUGGUUCUGUUUCUCUGGAGAACUCUAAUGUAAUAGUGUUGUUUAUU